UACGUAGGGGGCAAGCGUUGUCCGGAUUUAUUGGGCGUAAAGAGCGUGUAGGCGGCCUUACAGGUCAGCUGUGAAACUCGAGGCUCAACCUCGAGACGUCGGUUGAAACCGUAUGGCUAGAGUCCGGAAGAGGAGAGUGGAAUUCCCGGUGUAGCGGUGAAAUGCGCAGAUAUCAGGAAGAACACCCGUGGCUAAGGCGGCUCUCUAGUACGGUACUGACGCUGAGACGCGAAAGCGUGGGGAGCGAACAGG
rnacentral:rRNA from 1 species